GUAGGGUCCGAGCGUUGUCCGGAAUUAUUGGGCGUAAAGAGCUCGUAGGCGGUUUGUCGCGUCUGCUGUGAAAUCUAGAGGCUCAACCUCUAGCCUGCAGUGGGUACGGGCAGACUUGAGUGGUGUAGGGGAGACUGGAAUUCCUGGUGUAGCGGUGGAAUGCGCAGAUAUCAGGAGGAACACCGAUGGCGAAGGCAGGUCUCUGGGCACUUACUGACGCUGAGGAGCGAAAGCGUGGGGAGCGAACAGGAUUAGAUACCCUGGUAGUCCACGCCGUAAACGUUGGGCGCUAGAUGUGGGGACCUUUCCACGGUUUCCGUGUCGUAGCUAACGCAUUAAGCGCCCCGCCUGGGGAGUACGGCCGCAAGGCUAAA
rnacentral:rRNA from 1 species